AGCGCAAAGUAGAUAAGGCGUGCUUUUGAACCCCCCGAAGCGAAGUUGGCAGAGCGAGCGAUACCACGCCACCGUUGGCCGCCGGGAUGCUACUGGCGCGCGCCCCGCCGCCAUCGCCGUCGGCGUUCAACUCCCCGGCGCUUUCGGCGCGCGCCUUCCGCCGUCGCCGCCUCGCCGCUCCCGGUGCCGCCGCGACGGCCGCGUCCAAGCCGCCUUCUCUCCGGGUCGGGCAAAGGCGCAAGCAGGUGGCGAGCGUGGCGAACCCCAUGGUGAAGCACUGCGUGAAGCUCCGGGACUCGGCCGCCUACCGACGGUCCUGCCGCCGCCUCGUCCUCGUCGGCCUCGCCCCCGUCCUGGAGAUCUGCAGGCUUGGGCUCGCCGACAUCGAUUGCUUGCUCCUCUUGGACGGCGCAGAGGUCCCGGGUGAACUGCAUGAGCUCUCUGGUGGCAAUGUUGUGUAUGUCAGCGCCACUGUGAUGAAGAGGAUCUCCGGGAUGCGGUCGGUUGAUUCAACCGAGGCGAUUGCUGUCAUGCACAUGCCCAAGCAUUUCUGUGACCUCGGUGAUGAGGAGGGUGGAGCUGGUCUUGAUGCGGCGUUCCAGUCUCCAAAGAGGAUCCUGGUCCUUGAUGGGAUUCAGGAUCCGGGUAACCUCGGAACGCUGAUAAGGUCAGCUUGUGCGUUCAAAUGGGAUGGGGUAUUUCUUCUUCCGGCUUGCUGUGAUCCUUUCAAUGAAAAGGCUCUUCGUGCAGCUCGUGGAGCCUCUUUGCAGCUUCCAAUUGUCUCUGGCAACUGGUGUGAUCUGCAUGCUUUGGUAACUAGAUAUGGCAUGAAGAUGUUGGCAGGCCAUCCAGAAAGUAGCAGUGAUGGAUCUGAAAGAACCCAUGUGCUGUCCAAAGAGCUUGCAGACUCACUGAUGAGUGAGUCACUAUGCUUAGUGUUAGGAAGUGAGGGCAAUGGCCUCUCUGAAGAGACCGUCCAAGCUUGUGAUCUUGUAAGCAUUCCUAUGGAAGCACGACUGAACAGACAUGGUGUUGUUUUCAAAUAAGACACGUUAUGACGAUGCUUUGGCGGCACUUCAACCUGUUUUGGACCUUAAUAGUCAGUGUUUAAAGAAAGGAUGGCUUUCACUUUCAGAAAUGAAUAUGGAUGGUUCCCAGGUCCAUUAGUUUUCUGCUGGCCAACUCCCUGCUAAGCACUGUAAGUAUCGCGGCCUAGCCUGUUACUCCGUCGACAGGCUGGGCAUAUCCCUGUUCAUCAGCCACUACAUCAUUUUGCAUGUUAUUUCCUGCUCUAGACUAUGCCCGUCCACCGGUUGCAAUUUUCAUUCCAUCUGUUGAACUAUUUCUGUUCCAAACAUUAUUGAAGUAGCAUGUGCUUUUACUUGGACUUCACAUGUGGAGAAGUACAGACACAAACUAGCUGUGAACUAAUCAUGCGCACACACGCAUAUGAAAUGUUUAUUCGACGUUGAUCAGAAGGUUACACGGAACCUAGAUGCUUCCACAUCAUAGAGUCGCAUGGUUCAUAUCUUUUAGUUCUCACGAGAUAGUCUAACAUUAUCAGUACGGCCAUAUUAGGCAAAAUUUUGUCCAGUGGCCAGCGCAUCACCAUGCAAUUUCUCAAAUUGUCCAUGUUAAAGUUCAGAGUCCAAUAGAUAUGCCUUUGCUAGUAGCAUUA